GAUGAACGCUGGCGGCGUGCCUAAUACAUGCAAGUCGAGCGAACAGACGAGGAGCUUGCUCCUCUGACGUUAGCGGCGGACGGGUGAGUAACACGUGGAUAACCUACCUAUAAGACUGGGAUAACUUCGGGAAGCCGGAGCUAAUACCGGAUAAUAUAUUGAACCGCAUGGUUCAAUAGUGAAAGACGGUCUUGCUGUCACUUAUAGAUGGAUCCGCGCUGCAUUAGCUAGUUGGUAAGGUAACGGCUUACCAAGGCGACGAUGCGUAGCCGACCUGAGAGGGUGAUCGGCCACACUGGAACUGAGACACGGUCCAGACUCCUACGGGAGGCAGCAGUAGGGAAUCUUCCGCAAUGGGCGAAAGCCUGACGGAGCAACGCCGCGUGAGUGAUGAAGGUCUUCGGAUCGUAAAACUCUGUUAUUAGGGAAGAACAAAUGUGUAAGUAACUAUGCACGUCUUGACGGUACCUAAUCAGAAAGCCACGGCUAACUACGUG
rnacentral:rRNA from 1 species